AUGAACUGGAAGAGGCUGAGCUCGCGGUCGUCGUCAUCAUCGUCGAUCCAGCGGCCACUGGCCUCCAUUCGUCGCGCCAAGACGUCGAGGAACUCCGCCAUCGUCGUCUCCGUCGCCCUCGCCUAUCGGUUAGAGCUCGGACGGCCUACUACCUCGCCAUCACGCGGUCUUCUCUGCCACGGCAGCCGCAUCUCGUCGAUGAGCGCGAUGCGUCCGGCCACCUCGAGUCGUCCUCGGGCCGUCCCUGCAAUGGCAACCCUGAGACUGCCGGCGACCCCCAGUUCGACUACGGUGUUGACGACCCCUCCUACUUGCCAGAGCAACCAGACCCUGAGACUGCCGGCGACCCCCAGUUCGACUACGGUGUUGACGACCCCUCCUACUUGCCAGAGCAACCAGGGCGACGAGGAGGGGAUCGCCGGGUAG
rnacentral:rRNA from 1 species